CCUACGGGUGGCAGCAGUGGGGAAUAUUGCGCAAUGGGCGAAAGCCUGACGCAGCGACGCCGCGUGAGGGAUGAAGGUCUUCGGAUCGUAAACCUCUGUCAGCAGGGAAGAACGGUCACUGUGCUAAUCAGCAUCGAAUUGACGGUACCUGCAAAGGAAGCACCGGCUAACUCCGUGCCAGGAGCCGCAGUAAUACGGAGGGUGCGAGCGUUAAUCGGAAUUACUGGGCGUAAAGCGCUAGUACGCGGGAUGUCAAGGCAAGGGGGAAAUCCCCGCGCUCAACGCGGGAACGGCCGUUGAAACUGGCAAACUGGAGUGUGUGAGAGGGUGGUGGAAUUCCAGGGGGAGGAGUGAAAUCCGUAGAUAACUGGAGGAACAUCAGUGGGGAAGGCGACUAUCUGGCACAUAACUGACGCUGAGGAGCGAAAGCGUGGGUAGCAAACAGGAUUAGAUACCCUUGUAGUC
rnacentral:rRNA from 1 species